AUGAAGAGGGGUCAAGUACCUUUAGCGCAAAUACGGAAACCAGCCGCAGCAAAUGCUAGUCAGAUACCGUACAUUCUAGGCCAAAAACCUAACCAAGGGAUCAAGAAAGGUAAGACCUACACCAACAGAGCGAGCGAGUCUUCCAGUGAAGCAAGAGUAUACACAGUAGGUUCCAUUGGAGAAGGAGCUCACAAGCCGAGUCUCUCCGCGGAAGCCGUGGGAAUUUCCUUUUUUACAAGUUUGGAAAGAAAGUUGGGACAGAGGCUUCCUUUCCUAAUUCCAAUCGUGACAUCG